UACGGAGGGUGCAAGCGUUAAUCGGAAUUACUGGGCGUAAAGGGUGCGUAGGCGGUUGUUUAAGUCUGUUGUGAAAUCCCCGGGCUCAACCUGGGAAUGGCAAUGGAUACUGGGCACUAGAGUGUGUCAGAGGAUGGUGGAAUUCCCGGUGUAGCGGUGAAAUGUGUAGAGAUCGGGAGGAACACCGGUGGCGAAGGCGGGUCUCUGGGCAAUUCCUGACGUGAGGCGCGAAAGCGUGGGAAGCAAACGGG
rnacentral:rRNA from 1 species